rnacentral:rRNA from 1 species
AACGAACGCUGGCGGCAUGCCUAACACAUGCAAGUCGAACGAGACCUUCGGGUCUAGUGCCGCACGGGUGCGUAACGCGUGGGAACCUGCCCUUAGGUUCGGAAUAACUCCCCGAAAGGGGUGCUAAUACCGGAUAAUGUCUUCGGCCCAAAGAUUUAUCGCCUUUGGAUGGGCCCGCGUUGGAUUAGCUAGUUGGUAGGGUAAAAGCCUACCAAGGCGACGAUCCAUAGCUGGUCUGAGAGGAUGAUCAGCCACACUGGGACUGAGACACGGCCCAGACUCCUACGGGAGGCAGCAGUGGGGAAUAUUGGACAAUGGGCGAAAGCCUGAUCCAGCAAUGCCGCGUGAGUGAUGAAGGCCUUAGGGUUGUAAAGCUCUUUUACCCGGGAUGAUAAUGACAGUACCGGGAGAAUAAGCUCCGGCUAACUCCGUG